UAGGGAAUCUUCCGCAAUGGGCGAAAGCUUGACGGAGCAACGCCGCGUGAGUGAUGAAGGUCUUCGGAUCGUAAAACUCUGUUAUUAGGGAAGAACAAAUGUGUAAGUAACUAUGCACGUCUUGACGGUACCUAAUCAGAAAGCCACGGCUAACUACGUGCCAGCAGCCGCGGUAAUACGUAGGUGGCAAGCGUUAUCCGGCAUUAUUGGGCGUAAAGCGCGCGUAGGCGGUUUUUUAAGUCUGAUGUGAAAGCCCACGGCUCAACCGUGGAGGGUCAUUGGAAACUGGAAAACUUGAGUGCAGAAGAGGAAAGUGGAAUUCCAUGUGUAGCGGUGAAAUGCGCAGAGAUAUGGAGGAACACCAGUGGCGAAGGCGACUUUCUGGUCUGUAACUGACGCUGAUGUGCGAAAGCGUGGGGAUCAAACAGG
rnacentral:rRNA from 1 species